UUUUUGGCUUCCUCUUCUUCCCCAUCUUUUUUGCAGGGAACAGAAAACGAUGACCACGGUACAGUGUCUACACCUUGGGAUCUUGAAGCUUCAAGCUCUUGUAUUAAGGGUGGCUGAGCCAGACAGCAAGGGGGCUGAAUCCCUCACGACGGGACGGGACCACCAUUGCAGAGCAUGAGGUACUCAUUCCUGAUUAAUGACCUCAGCAAGUGGGUAAUGAUUAUUCAUCGGCCUCUUUAGGAACUUUAAUCGUGUGGAGGACUUUCUAGACUUCAGAUGGACUACUCUAGAUAGAGGCAUAGAAACAGUAAUCAAGUAACAAAGCGAAAACUACUCAACUUAAAUGCCUAUCAGAUUAUACCCUUUCUAAUAUUUUUGGCAUGAAAAUGAUCUCUUAUGAAGCAAUCUUAACGUACCCUGGAUGGUAGUUUGAUUUGUUUUAAAACGCCUUCACGGAGUUGUGGGCAAUGCUGUGUUUGGUUUCUACACGAUUUUUGAAAUUUUUUGUGGUCUAUACAAUCCCAGACCCUAGGAACCACUGGAAUGCAUCUUCAAAUAGUUGCUCAACAAGUGGAAUAUUUUCUGAGCCUUUGCAUUUCUGAGAAUGCCCACCUGUCCCACCGAAAGACGAAUUGUUGGGUAUAAAGUUCUUAGCUCAUAACUUUCUCUACCUCAAAACCCCGUGGAGUCAUCUGGCAUCUAACUGCUGCAGAGGAAAUGUCUGAGAUCAACCUCUUGUAAAUAAAUUUUUACUGAAUAGUUGCAAGACUUUUUUUUUUUUCACUUACACCUUCCUGUUUCUCGAGGCAUUGCUGUACG